rnacentral:rRNA from 1 species
UACAGAGGUCCCGAGCGUUGUCCGGAAUUAUUGGGCGUAAAGAGCUCGUAGGCGGUGUGUCGCGUCGGCCGUGAAAACCUGCAGCUUAACUGUGGGCUUGCGGUCGAUACGGGCAUCACUGGAGUUCGGCAGGGGAGACUGGAAUUCCUGGUGUAGCGGUGAAAUGCGCAGAUAUCAGGAGGAACACCGGUGGCGAAGGCGGGUCUCUGGGCCGAUACUGACGCUGAGGAGCGAAAGCGUGGGGAGCGAACAGG